rnacentral:rRNA from 1 species
UACGGGGGGGGCAAGCGUUGUUCGGAAUUACUGGGCGUAAAGGGCUCGUAGGUGGCCAACUAAGUCAGACGUGAAAUCCCUCGGCUUAACCGGGAAACUGCGUCUGAUACUGGAUGGCUUGAGAUUGGGAGAGGGAUGCGGAAUUCCAGGUGUAGCGGUGAAAUGCGUAGAUAUCUGGAGGAACACCGGUGGCGAAGGCGGCAUCCUGGACCAACACUGACACUGAGGAGCGAAAGCCAGGGGAGCAAACGGG